rnacentral:rRNA from 1 species
CCUUCGGGUUGUAAAGCUCUUUUGUCAGGGAAGAAACACCGGCUCUAACACAGUCCGGGAAUGACGGUACCUGAAGAAUAAGCACCGGCUAACUACGUGCCAGCAGCCGCGGUAAUACGUAGGGUGCAAGCGUUAAUCGGAAUUACUGGGCGUAAAGCGUGCGCAGGCGGUUAUACAAGACAGGCGUGAAAUCCCCGGGCUUAACCUGGGAAUGGCGCCUGUGACUGUAUAGCUAGAGUGUGUCAGAGGGGGGUAGAAUUCCACGUGUAGCAGUGAAAUGCGUAGAUAUGUGGAGGAAUACCAAUGGCGAAGGCAGCCCCCUGGGAUAACACUGACGCUCAUGCACGAAAGCGUGGGGAGCAAACAGGAUUAGAUACCCUGGUAGUCCACG